rnacentral:lncRNA from 1 species
CGGACACCCUCCCCCAACCACAUGUAUCCGGCGACCACCCCGUGGCCACCCUGUGCUGCCAUCAUCCGAUAUUUCGGAGGGGAACACUCAAAACAUUACCACUCAUUCUUUUUUUUUUUUUUUUUUUUAAUGACAGAGCAAUAAUUCUGGGUGUCAGCAUAUCAGAAUUCCAGCGGCUGUGAGUGGAAUAAAGAUGGGUUGCUGUAAUUUGGCCAUCCAAAUCGUCGUAUUACACCCGGGCAGAGGAGUGGACUGGCCCAGCGGAGAGGCUGGUACUUGGCAACACCAUCUUGAACCUCUUGCUUCCUCGUCCCGAGGACCGGAAGGAAGGCACUCUCAAAGCAAAGGACACAGGUUUGACCCGGAGGCCCAGGAAGCAUUGUGUAUGGUUCAAGGUGCACCUUGAUCUGCAGGCUGGAGAAAUGAGGUGAUCAAGGCUAAAAAUGAAUACGCCUGACGUGGGAAACUAGCCUUCUGAAAUAAUUAGGCCACGAGCCGCAGGAUGAGGCAGCGUGAUGCAGGUGUCUGUUGAAUAAGAGACGCUCUCCCCCUCCCUCCUGUGCCGUCUCCAAAUGGUUGAAAAGUACCUUAGUUCUCUGGUGGAAUUGGUUUUAGAAAUAAUUCAUUUUCUGACCAUGCAGGACAGGGGAUUCAAGAUGCGUCUUCUUAAGCCAGUUGCGAUGAGA